UGACAAUACAAUAUUAGAAAAAAAUAUACCAGCCAUCAUAUACAAUUUACUAUAGAACCUCUUAGAAAUAAACUAAAGGGAAUACAAACUCUGCUGCAUCUGCAUAUAUGUAUACACACAGUUUCUCUUCUGAAAUUUUUAUCUCAAAUCUGCUUUAAAUCAAAAUGAGUUGAGCUUCAAACAGGGGCCGGGCGAGAAAGAACCUUCUAAAAACUUUACUCCACCCAGCAAAUGCUUUAAAGGUGAACUAACGCGCAGUGUCUCUCACUUACAUAACCAUGCUCCAAGAAGGACAGCCUCUCCGUACUUUGAUUUUCAAAGAAAGUGCUAGGGCUUUUAUAGAACAAAGAAGGAAAGCCUUCUCCAUUCUUCUUUCCUUCCCUCCCUCUCCACAGUUUGACCACUCCAUUUUUCCUAGUUUUCCUUCUUAAAUAAGGUCUCCUUUCUUUUGUCUUCCUUCCCUCUUUGUACCUCCACCAUCACAGUUUGAUUAAAAAUGAUUUUCCACGUAGGACCCUUAACAGAUCAACGUGGGAGGGGGACACCCACAAUCCUGGGACUCGGCCCGCCUGACCUGGGCGGCCUCCCCACCUCCCUGCUCUCCUCGCUUCUCUGGGGUUCCCCCGAGGGGCUGAGCACCCCAGCAGGGCGCGCGGUAAGUUCAGAGUUUGCUCUGGCGCCGUGCAGUGUGUCCACCAACUUCUGCUUUUCCCCAGGGAAAACUGCGAGACUUGAAGCGCGACUGCAAGUGCUUCUUCUGGUCAGCUUGGAGGUCUCCGAGCCCCGGGAUUGGCGGCCCAAACCCCUACUCUUCCCGCCCUGGGAGGAAUCUGAAUCGGAGCCAAUUCAACGCGCUCGGAGCCCCCAACACCCAAGCACCCACAUCUGCUCUGCAGCGCGAGCGAGAAAGCUUGCGUGGAGCUUGCGGGAUGGGGCGUGCAUGGAGCGGAUGGCGAGGAGGGACGCGGGGGACGACCGAGGCUGGGGGAAAAGCGCCGGGAGAGGGGUGCAGUCCGAUCUGCCCCACGCGCUGGGGGCGCGGGCUCCCGUGCGCCCCAGGCCAGGCCCCGAAGCGAGCAAACGUGAGCGCAGAUCGGCCUCCCUUUCACCAGAGAGCGGGCGUUUCGUUGAGAAGGAAAACCAUCCGGAAAGAAAGUCAGCUUGCGCAUUUGUUUUGGCGUUUCGUCUGUUUGCCUCCCAAUUAAAAAGUGGCCGCCUAGGCGACAGCUUUGCGGUUUUCACAGUGUAAAACGGAUUAGAGGAAAAGCUCCAGCCCCUCUCGACUUUCGCUUGCGGUUUGCAACCCCCGGGGCGGGUGUGACCCUGCGACACCUGCGCAGGCGAGCUUCCCCUGCGGCGGCCCGACAGCGGCCCCGGCUUCCCUGGGGCGGGGCCCCGCAGGGCGGAGCCAGGGCUGCGCGCCCGGGGGAAGGGAGGUUCCCACGGUGCAGGUCCUGGGUGUGCUGGUGUCCUGGGGCAGCCCCCGGGGGCCUCCAUCUCCAGGACACGGAGGAGGGAAGAGCAAAGCAAAGGAAUUUACUGCAGAUGGCACUGGAACCAAAGUUGGCGUGUUCCUGUCCUGCUCAGUGCUCGUAGGUUUUCCCCAAGAAUCCAGAAUUCGCUGAGGACACUUAUAUCCAAGAAACGAUGAGUUAACACGCACAUUUAGUUAAAAAGAAAAAAGGAAAGAAAGAAAAACUGCUCUUCUAUCCUCUCCACGUUCCCAGAUUUCACCAAAUAAACCAAGGGUCCGGGCGAGAAUAGGCUGAAGCUGGGGCGCCGGAGAUGCGCAAGGAGGGGUUCCCGCGGGCGCGUCGCCCCUCCGCGGCCUCUUGCACCCGCAACUGCCCACGAGUUUGCGGGGUGUGGGCGCCGGAU
rnacentral:lncRNA from 1 species